rnacentral:rRNA from 1 species
CCUGGUUGAUCCUGCCAGUAGUCAUAUGCUUGUCUCAAAGAUUAAGCCAUGCAUGUGUAAGUAUGAAUAAAUUCAGACUGUGAAACUGUGAAUGGCUCAUUAAAUCAGUUAUAGUUUGUUUGAUGGUAUAUACUACUUGGAUAACCGUAGUAAUUCUAGAGCUAAUAUGUGCAACAAACCCUGACUUCUAGAAGGGAUGCAUUUAUUGGAUAAAAGUUUGACGCGGUCUCUGCCUGUUGCUGCGAUGAUUCAUGAUAACUCGACGGAUCGCACGGCCAUCGUACCGGUGACGCAUCAUUCAAAUUUUUGCCCUAUCUAGUUUUGAUGGUAGGAUAGUGGCCUACUAUGGUGGUGACGGGUGACGGAGAAUUAAGGUUCGAUUUCAGAGAGGGAGCCUAAGAAACGGCUACCACAUCUAAGGAAGGCAGCAGGCGCGCAAAUUACCCAAUCCUGACAUGGGGAGGUAGUGACAGUAAAUAACAAUACCGGGCUCAAUGAGUCUGUUAAUUGGAAUGAGUACAAUCUAAAUCCCUUAACAAGGAUCCAUAAGAGGGAAAGUCUGGUGCCAGCAGCCGCAGUAAUUCCAUCUCCAAUAGCGUAUAUUUAAGUUUUUGCAGUUAAAAAGCUUGUAGUUGAACUUUGGGAUUGGCCGGCCGGUCUGCCUAUGGUGUGCACCGGUCAUCUCGUCCCUUCUGUCGGCGAUGCGCUCCUGGCCUUAGCUGGACGGGUAGUGCCUCCGGCACUGUUACUUUGAAGAAAUUAGAGUGCUCAAAGCAAGUCUACGCUCUGUAUACAUUAGCAUGGGAUAACAUUAUCGGAUUUCGAUCCUAUUAUGUUGGCCUUCGGGAUCGGAGUAAUAAUUAACAGGGACAGUCGGGGGCAUUCGUAUUUCAUAGUCAGAGAAAAAAUUAUUGGAUUUAUGAAAUACGAACAACUGCGAAAGCAUUUUCCAAGGAUGUUUUCAUUAAUCAAUAACGAAAGUUGGGGGCUCAAAGACGAUCAGAUACCGUCCUAGUCUCAACCAUAAACGAUGCCGACCAGGGAUCGGCAGAUGUUGCUUUUAGGACUCUGCCGACACCUUAUGAGAAAUCAAAGUUUUUGGGUUCCGAGAGAGUAUGGUCGCAAGGCUGAAACUUAAAGGAAUUGACGAAAGGGCACCACCAAGAGUGGAGCCUGUGGCUUAAUUUGACUCAACACGGGGAAACUUACCAGGUCCAGACAUAGUAAGGAUUAACAGACUGAGAGCUCUUUCUUGAUUCUAUGGGUGGGGGUGCAUGGCCGUUCUUAGUUGGUGAAGCGAUUUGUCUGGUUAAUUCUGUUAACGAACGAGACCUCAGCCUACUAACUAGCUAUGCGGAGGUAUCCCUUUGCGGCCAGCUUCUUAGAGGGACUACGGCCUUUUAGGCCGCGGAAGUUUGAGGCAAUAACAGGUCGCAUUGGCCCCUCGCAUCGCGCAUCAAUCACGGGGCCCGUUGUUGUCGCAGGGAGAAUACUGGACUUCCGUGCACCUCGAGCUCGCGGCUGGCCUAAAUGCGAGUCCACGUCGACAGAUGUCGCGGCAAGUGAUGGUUGUAUCUUAACUCUCUUUGUUGUCGCGGGUAUAGCCCGUCGCAC